GGGUCGUUAGCUCAGUUGGUAGAGCAGUUGACUUUUAAUCAACUGGUCGCAGGUUCGAAUCCUGCACGACCCACCA
rnacentral:tRNA from 2 species